ensembl:lncRNA
AAGCCUAUUACUUGUGCGACUGUGCCCAGUCUCAACAAUAACUCAGGAGCCCAAUGACAACCCCAUUGCCUUUCUGGAAAGGCUAAAAGAGGCCCUCCAAAAGUUUACCAAUCUGGACUUAGACUCUUAUGAGGGACAGGUGAUUUUAAAGGACAAAUUCUUGUCCCAAUGUGCAUCAGAUAUCAGAAUUAAGUUACAACAGCUACAGCAGCAGUACUCUACUGCCUUUUUAGAUGAGAUGAUCCAGACAGCCACCAAUUCCUUUUAUAACAGAACAGGAGAAGGAGGCCAAGGCCCAAGAGAGGGAGAGAAAAAAAGAGACAAGCCAUGCCUAGAUGCUGGCCGCCCUCCAGAGAAGCCCUAUGGCAAACCCCCAAGUCCUUGAAGGACAAGGCAAAUGCCUAAUCUGUAGACAGGCGGGGCAUUGGGCCAAAGAGUGUCCAAACUGUGACAAGUCUCCUAGUCUCUUGCCACAAAUGCCAUCAACUGGGACACUGGGCGGCACUCUGCCCUUGGGACCCAAGAGUCUCAAGGUCAAAUGCUAAGCCUUCCCUAACGAUGGUUCAAGAGGACUGAAGAUGGUUCAAGAGGCCCACUCCAGCCAGUCUGCCGGUCACAGAUAACCAUCACGGGGCUGGAGCCAAGGGUGCAACUGGAUGUGGCAGAAACCUUGGACCACUGGACAAAACCCCGAGAGGGAUUGUCAGAAGAUCCUCUGACCAAUCCUGAGGAAAUCUGGUACACUGAUGGAAGCAGCUUUGUCUUGGAUGGAAAAAGAAGAGCCAGCAGUCAAGGUACCAGGACAUGACUCCUGGAUUCACUGCUCAUGAGUCAAGCCAUGGAAGAAAACAGGACACUCAAUACACCUGAACAUGGAGCUGGUCUUACCCAAAUUAAACCAGUCAAGACCAUGGAUUGAGUGACUGUUCGAUAGAUGAACUUUUGACAUCAGAGGGCCAAAAACGUCACCCUCAGAUCAUGUUGCUGCUGCUGCUGCUGCUGCUGCUGCUGCUAAGUCGCUUCAGUCGUGUUCGACUCUGUGCGACCCCAGAGACAGCAGCCACUAGGCUCCUCCGUCCCUGGGAUUCUCCAGGCAAGAAUACUGGAGUGGGUUGCCAUUUCCUUCUCCA